UACGUAGGGUGCAAGCGUUAAUCGGAAUUACUGGGCGUAAAGCGUGCGCAGGCGGUUUUUGUAAGUUUGUCGUGAAAUCCCCGGGCUCAACCUGGGAAUGGCGAUGAAGACUGCAAGGCUAGAAUCUGGCAGAGGGGGGGUAGAAUUCCACGUGUAGCAGUGAAAUGCGUAGAGAUGUGGAGGAACACCGAUGGCGAAGGCAGCCCCCUGGGUCAAGAUUGACGCUCAUGCACGAA
rnacentral:rRNA from 1 species